UAGAAUUUUAUUUUUUAGUCAAAAAGCUAAAAUUUAUUUAAAAGACGAGAAGACCCUAUAAAUCUUUAUAUUUAUAUUAUUAUAAUUUUUUAGAUUCUUUUUAUUAUAAUAAUAGAUUAUAUUUUAUUGGGGUGAUAUUAAAAUUUAAUAAACUUUUAAUUGUUUAAAUCAUUAAUUUAUGAAUAA
rnacentral:rRNA from 1 species